AAAGUCGUAACAAGGUCUCCGUAGGUGAACCUGCGGAGGGAUCAUUAUCGAAUGGCCCACUGGGCCUUCCAACCCCACACACCCGUGGAAAUCGAAACUGUGCUUUGGUGCCGUAAGGCGCCAUAUUCAUGCGAUUUGUAUUAUGUUGUCUGAAUUAAAAACUAGAAUUGAAAACUUUCAACAAAGGAUCUCUUGGCUCUC
rnacentral:misc_RNA from 1 species